UAAUACAUGCAAGUUGAGCGCUGAAGGUUGGUACUUGUACCGACUGGAUGAGCAGCGAACGGGUGAGUAACGCGUGGGGAAUCUGCCUUUGAGCGGGGGACAACAUUUGGAAACGAAUGCUAAUACCGCAUAAAAACUUUAAACACAAGUUUUAAGUUUGAAAGAUGCAAUUGCAUCACUCAAAGAUGAUCCCGCGUUGUAUUAGCUAGUUGGUGAGGUAAAGGCUCACCAAGGCGAUGAUACAUAGCCGACCUGAGAGGGUGAUCGGCCACAUUGGGACUGAGACACGGCCCAAACUCCUACGGGAGGCAGCAGUAGGGAAUCUUCGGCAAUGGACGAAAGUCUGACCGAGCAACGCCGCGU
rnacentral:rRNA from 1 species